UAAAUAUUUAAAAAUGGCGGACAUUCUGUCGUCACGUGAAGGUGGCGUGGCUUGUACCGCAUUUGAAAUUAAGGGCUGCACCUGACACAUAAACAAACAUACCGAAAAACACAACUUCCGUUUAAGGUUUUACCCCAAACAACACUAAAACUAAGACAGAAAGUGAUUAAGUUUAAGAAGCACUGAUGUGAAAUGUAGUAGUCUUUUGUAGUGUCCUCAGAGGGUGAACGUAAGAGCCGAACAGGUGACAGAUCUACAAUACCGAUGCGACCACACGUCUGUGUCCAGUGCCUGGAAAUCUGCUGAGGGGAGCUUUCAUUCCCGUCGCUGGACCGUCAGAGGACAAUGCAGAGAUGAAGUGCAUCUGAGUGGAGGCAAAAGCAAGGGAAGGAGGAAGGUGGAGUCGUAUUGCUGCAGAUCCAUCCAAAAGUGCACAAUGACAUCGGCACCAACCAGCUGCAAAAAUCUAUCAAGCAAUGAAUUAUGAAGAAAGAAACACAAGUAUGGACAAUUUGAUGAUUUCUUAAAACUGGGUCACUGCUGGAGUCUCUGUGCAUUUUUGUCUGUCCCUGAACAAAGCUUUAGGGCGUUUUCACCUGGAUUUUUUUUUGCAUGUGUGUGAACUGAAUGUUUGUCAGAAGAGUUGCUCUGUGCAAUUUUCUCUGGUGUUGAAGUUUAAAACUAGAACAAAAAUGUUAUCCUUUGUGUAGUCAUUAUGGAGUCAACAGUUACAUCUCAUUCACUUAGAAAAAUCUGUUCUAUCCAUCCAAGAUCAGAAAAUUGUCACAUAUCUACCUCCAUAUCUCAAAUCAUUGAUUAGUUGUCCCUGACUGAAUUGA